ACUAUGAGUAGAGAGCAAAUCAUUUAUAAAGAAACAAAAAAAUUGGUCUGCUAUCAGAUGGUACAUUUAUUUCAACACAAAAUGCAAGAAAGCUUCACGGUCUCUUGAAGAGGGCAUGCUUUUGAAUUAAUUCCGACUGAUCUGAAAUUCACUUAAAUUUUGUUGUUGAUUGAUCUGCAGUUAUUUUUUAUUUGUAGAGAAGUUCCGCAUUUGAGAAGCCGGAGAAGAGUAUCUCACUAAGUACAGAUUCGAGUGACUUUGCCAACUUGCUGACAUGGGGUCUCGUUCAGAGCACAAGCUUCACCCGAAUAACCUUCUUUCAGUUAGUAAAACACUCAGCAAAGCAGCCGACUCCGUCGAUGUCGUGCUCGUUUACCAGCCAUGCAUUCCAGACAAGUUGAAUGCCGGUGGCAACAGGCAUUCAACGGCACCCUCGUCGGCGCUCUACUCACAGGACCCCGCCUCCCACGCUGGACCUCCUUGCCGCCCGCACAACGCUAUUACUCCACGCACGCAUGGCCAAACUUCCUCAUAGGGGUGCGUAGGUGUGUCGUUCCUGCAGACCUAUUUUUUGGUGCUACGUCAACAUGCUAGGCCACGCUUCAUCUUCGACUGGCUCAACCUCCACGGCACGGUGUAGCCGCGCAGGCUACAGUCCGCCCAAGCGCCGGGAUGUGCAAGGCGUUCUGGGGCGUGUGUACGCCGACUAAUGUGACUUUCUGCUUUACUCAGCGAGCAAUCCUAGGGAUUUCUUUUUUUUUGGAAUUCAUUAUGCAUUCUGUUUUUUAUUUAAUUUUAGGGCCUCAUGUGGAUAUAUCUGUUGCAGAUUGGUGAAGAUAAAGCUGCCGAUGUGGUGCUCACUGCUCACCUCGGAUGCAAUUCAAAAUUAUGUUGAUUUAUGUUCCUCUGUGUUACAGUUUAUUCUGGUUUUAGAAAUACUAAUAUUUUUUCAGUAAGGACAGUGACUAUUCUUAUUUUGACAUAGAGUGUGGUAGAUGAACAUGUCUUCAUUUCAGGUUGAAGGCAUUCCAAGUUCACUUAUAAUAGAAGCUCAAUAAUGCACUUAGUCUACCACCAAAUUCAAAUUAUUGAAAGAUCAAUCCAACAUUAAUUUGCCUCAGAUACAGUCUGGUGCAUUUUCCUUAACAUGACACUCUUUUUAGAGUGAUAACCUUCAUUUCAGGUUGACGGCAUUCCAAAGAAACUUCAAGAUUGCAAGAUAAUGAAAGCGUAAUUAUAUUUUUUUUGCAGUGGCAAGGUGAAAUUGUAUAAAAGAGACAAAGAAGAGUUGCUUCAUGUCCUUAAUCAUCGGUGUGCACCAACGCAGAAAACUGGUGAUAACUUUCUCAUGAACUUUUAAUUUUCCCCUCCACUCACAAAUUGAUGGCUUUAUCUAAUUGUAAGACAGGCACAUUGCAAGGUGUAUUCAGACAUCAUUACUGAUAAAUGUAAAAAAUAUUUAUCCCUUGUAUUCGUGUUCUGAGCAUGAUCCUUCCAAGUACAUGUUUUAUGUUUC